AACAGGAUUAGAUACCCUGGUAGUCCACGCCGUAAACUAAGGAUGCUAGCUGUAAGAAGUAUCGACCCUUCUUGUAGCGAAGCUAACGCGUUAAGCAUCCCGCCUGUGGAGUACGGUCGCAAGACUAAAACAUAAAGGAAUUGACGGGGACCCGCACAAGCGGUGGAGCGUGUUGUUUAAUUCGAUGGUAAGCGAAGAACCUUACCCAGGCUUGACAUCCUGUGAAGGUCUCCGAAAGGAGACUGUGCCUUCGGGAAUACGGUGACAGGUGAUGCAUGGCCGUCGUCAGCUCGUGUCGUGAGAUGUUUGGUUAAGUCCAUCAACGAGCGCAACCCUUGUAGUUAGUUGUAUUUUUCUAGCUAGACUGCCCUGGUAACAGGGAGGAAGGGGGGGAUGAUGUCAGGUCAGUAUUUCCCUUACGUCUGGGGCUACAAACACGCUACAAUGGCCGGUACAAAGGGCAGCCAAAGCGCAAGCUGGAGCAAAUCCCAUCAAAGCCGGUCCCAGUUCGGAUAGCAGGCUGAAACUCGCCUGCUUGAAGAUGGAAUCGCUAGUAACGGUAGGUCAGCACACUACCGUGAAUACGUUCCCGGGUCUUGUACACACCGCCCGUCAAACCAUGAAAGUCGCCAAUACCUGACGUGUUAGCUUUGCCUAGCCCUAAGGUAGGGGAGAUGAUUGGGGUUAAGUCGUAACAAGGUAACC
rnacentral:rRNA from 1 species